AUUGAACGCUGGCGGCAUGCCUUACACAUGCAAGUCGAACGGCAGCACGGGUGCUUGCACCUGGUGGCGAGUGGCGAACGGGUGAGUAAUACAUCGGAACGUACCUUAUCGUGGGGGAUAACGCAGCGAAAGCUGUGCUAAUACCGCAUACGCCCUGAGGGGGAAAGCGGGGGAUCGAAAGACCUCGCGCGAUUAGAGCGGCCGAUGCCUGAUUAGCUUGUUGGUGGGGUAAAAGCCCACCAAGGCGACGAUCAGUAGCUGGUCUGAGAGGACGAUCAGCCCAACUGGGACUGAGACACGGCCCAGACUCCUACGGGAGGCAGCAGUGGGGAAUUUUGGACAAUGGGGGCAACCCUGAUCCAGCAAUGCCGCGUGAGUGAAGAAGGCCUUCGGGUUGUAAAGCUCUUUUGUCAGGGAAGAAACACCGGCUCUAACACAGUCCGGGAAUGACGGUACCUGAAGAAUAAGCACCGGCUAACUACGUGCCAGCAGCCGCGGUAA
rnacentral:rRNA from 1 species